GAACUGAAGGUUUUCUUUUCAUUUUUGUCUUGUUUUUCUUUGUUUUUUUUUUGGUGGUUGUUGUUGCUUUAAUUUUUCAUGGUAGAUGGUGAAUCUCAAACCUGCAAAGAGAGAGGCUGGUGGUUCUGAUGAGUCUUGACUCGAAGAAAAGCAGGAAAAGAGAAGCAAUUUAUUUUUUUGC
rnacentral:ribozyme from 13 species